rnacentral:lncRNA from 13 species
GGGAGGGGGAAUGCGAGCAGAGUUCUGGAUGCAGUAGAGAGGGAGCUACCUGGAGAUGGAGGAUGAAUAUUCAUGCACAGGCCUUGGGGGCUGCAACAUCUCUGGCACAAUGCUGAGCAUCAGGGCUCUAAAGACUUGGCCAUGAAAAAAGCUGAAGUCCCCAGAAGAAGAGAUAAGACUUGUACUACAAGGCUGUCCAUCAAGAUGGAGUCUCUGUAGCCCAGGCUGGAGUGCAGUGUCACAAUCUCGGCUCACUGCAACCUCCAGCUCCCGCAUCCUGGUUCAGGCAAUUCUCCUACCUCAGCCUCCCAAGUAUCUGGGAUUACAGGCAUGAGCCACCAUGCCCAGCUAAUUUUUGUGUUUUUUAGUAGAGACGGGGUUUU